rnacentral:tRNA from 1 species
UCCCUGGUAGUCCAGUGGUUAAGACUUUGCACUUCUGAUACAGUGGUUGCAGGUUUGAUCCCUGGUCAGGGAA